UAGAGAUAUUUUGUUGAACAUUUUGCUUAUUAACAAUCCAUUUCUCAGCAUCAUUCCACUUGGAGGAAGUCUGUCUCGAGAAAUAUCCUGAUGUUGGAUUCUGCGCUGCUGUUUUCUCUCCUCCAUGGAACUCGAAACUACUGGUUGCUGAACUGAACUUUUGGUCAUGUCCUCAACCUUGUUGAUGUCCAAUGGUGGAUCCUUCUCUAAAGCUUCAGUUUUGUUGAUUGCUGAGGAGCAUUUGGAUCCAUCAGAGCUGCCUGAAACUGCUAGAAGAGCAAGAUAGCUGUGUGAUUGACUUGAUCAGGAAAAUUGUUCUUCGAAGGUGAUGUCCGUGAUGAGCUGUUGCUGAUGACCCUCACACGAUUGUGAGUUCCCAGAAGCUUCAUCCUUAGCUUUGUCGGAGAAAGUGCACCAGCCUACAGGAACAACAAAGCAGCCAGUUCAUACAUUUGGAUUCGCCGUGUACUUGGAGCAAAAUUUGGACAUGUGAGCGAUUGGAGCUUGGGCUCUGGAGUACAGGCAUGGCUAAAAACUGAAAAGCAGAGAGCAUCUCGUGGGAGGAGGACGAGCUGGGGAGGGAAGGUGAAAAAAGUUGCAGCAAUGGAUGGAGGAUGGCAAGAGCAGGGGGCUUUUUCAGAGGAGAGGGGCAGCAGCAGCAGCUAUAGUCAGCUACGGCAGCAAAGUGCUUGGGCUGAACGGAAAGCCUCGCUAAAGAUGGCCCUUCAUGUUGGCGAGCAUCGCGCAUUUGUGUGCUGCAGCAUGGUUUUUUGAGCUGGAGGUCUGGACUCGAGAGCCGUGGAGAGUAUAGCUACGGCGCAAAUUUACAUGCGGGACCCCACCGACUAAGAAAUGUCAGGAAAGGUCCUUUUUCAGAAAGAAAAUAUGGAGCGGAGGACCCCGUUUUGGCAGGUUUUAAGGCGAACAGCGCGAGAAGAAAACAAAAGAUCCAGUGGUAUCAAGAAUAGUAUGCUGGCAUGUGCACAAACACCCUCAAAAUAAUUGGUUCACAUCAUCAAAAUAUUUCUUUUUUCUGGAGGAAUAUCAAAUCUUCCCUCCUUAUACAAUGUAUGCAUUGUUUUGUAUUCAUAUACAUAUAUGUAGUAAAGCAGUAUAGUAAUUUUUUUCAGGUGCAAAAAUUUGUUGGAUUACCUCUCUGUGGAUCAUAAAAAUGGUACUAAUUUAAUUGAUCCCUAAUGUUAAUAUAUUCCAAUAGGAUGAUCCCAUUAUAGCACAGUAGCAGUGCUGCACAUCAGAUCUACCUCCGUCCAA